GACGAACGCUUGCGGCGUGCUUAACACAUGCAAGUCGAACGGAAAGGCCCUGCUUUUGUGGGGUGCUCGAGUGGCGAACGGGUGAGUAACACGUGAGUAACCUGCCCUUGACUUUGGGAUAACUUCAGGAAACUGGGGCUAAUACCGGAUAGGAGCUCCUGCUGCAUGGUGGGGGUUGGAAAGUUUCGGCGGUUGGGGAUGGACUCGCGGCUUAUCAGCUUGUUGGUGGGGUAGUGGCUUACCAAGGCUUUGACGGGUAGCCGGCCUGAGAGGGUGACCGGCCACAUUGGGACUGAGAUACGGCCCAGACUCCUACGGGAGGCAGCAGUGGGGAAUAUUGCACAAUGGGCGGAAGCCUGAUGCAGCAACGCCGCGUGCGGGAUGACGGCCUUCGGGUUGUAAACCGCUUUCGCCUGUGACGAAGCGUGAGUGACGGUAAUGGGUAAAGAAGCACCGGCUAACUACGUGCCAGCAGCCGCGGUGAUACGUAGGGUGCGAGCGUUGUCCGGAUUUAUUGGGCGUAAAGGGCUCGUAGGUGGUUGAUCGCGUCGGAAGUGUAAUCUUGGGGCUUAACCCUGAGCGUGCUUUCGAUACGGGUUGACUUGAGGAAGGUAGGGGAGAAUGGAAUUCCUGGUGGAGCGGUGGAAUGCGCAGAUAUCAGGAGGAACACCAGUGGCGAAGGCGGUUCUCUGGGCCUUUCCUGACGCUGAGGAGCGAAAGCGUGGGGAGCGAACAGGCUUAGAUACCCUGGUAGUCCACGCUGUAAACGGUGGGUACUAGGUGUGGGGUCCAUUCCACGGGUUCCGUGCCGUAGCUAACGCUUUAAGUACCCCGCCUGGGGAGUACGGCCGCAAGGCUAAGACUCAAAGGAAUUGACGGGGCCCCGCACAAGCGGCGGAGCAUGCGGAUUAAUUCGAUGCAACGCGUAGAACCUUACCUGGGUUUGACAUGGAUCGGGAGUGCUCAGAGAUGGGUGUGCCUCUUUUGGGGUCGGUUCACAGGUGGUGCAUGGCUGUCGUCAGCUCGUGUCGUGAGAUGUUGGGUUAAGUCCCGCAACGAGCGCAACCCUUGUUCACUGUUGCCAGCACGUUAUGGUGGGGACUCAGUGGAGACCGCCGGGGUCAACUCGGAGGAAGGUGGGGAUGACGUCAAGUCAUCAUGCCCCUUAUGUCCAGGGCUUCACGCAUGCUACAAUGGCUGGUACAGAGAGUGGCGAGCCUGUGAGGGUGAGCGAAUCUCGGAAAGCCGGUCUCAGUUCGGAUUGGGGUCUGCAACUCGACCUCAUGAAGUCGGAGUCGCUAGUAAUCGCAGAUCAGCAACGCUGCGGUGAAUACGUUCCCGGGGCU
rnacentral:rRNA from 1 species